rnacentral:misc_RNA from 1 species
GAUGAAGAACGUAGCGAAAUGCGAUAAGUAAUGUGAAUUGCAGAAUUCAGUGAAUCAUCGAAUCUUUGAACGCACAUUGCGCCCGCCAGUAUUCUGGCGGGCAUGCCUGUUCGAGCGUCAUUUCAACCAUCAAGCCCCCGGCUUGUGUUGGGGACCUGCGGCUGCCGCAGGCCCUGAAAAGCAGUGGCGGGCUCGCUGUCACACCGAGCGUAGUAGCAUACAUCUCGCUCUGGGCGUGCUGCGGGUUCCGGCCGUUAAACCACCUUCAUAACCCAAGGUUGACCUCGGAUCAGGUAGGAAGACCCGCUGAACUUAAGCAUAUCAAUAGCGAGGA